rnacentral:lncRNA from 10 species
UCCAAGCAGAGAGGACAAGGAGACCAAAAGCUCUUACUUGGUUCCAAUUUGGUGCAUUUGAGAAACGACUUGAAACAAGUCAGGAAAAAAAUAAUAGAAGAUGAGGUCAAACAGAAAAUCAGAAACUUAAACGUGUUGGGCCUUGGAGACCAUGAUUUCUCAGAAAAUUCAUCAGAGGAACUUAAAAUUUCAAUCACUGUUAUUCUUUGGUAUGGAGAAAAAAAUCUUACAUGAUGAGACUGGAACACGGAUAACAAAUACCUGCUGGGUUUGCUGCCACUACUACUUAAUCCUUCCUCUAUAGCUGGCAUUGCUAAUCACUCAUGACACUUUCCUGCUGAGCCCACAUGUAGACUCAGAUGGCUACAGGCAGUAACCACCAAUUGAUCAGAGCUGGCACACAAGAUGGAACCUAUUUGCAAUCCCUGGUCUAGAACAUUGUACCAUCUCUACUGAGCUGCUGCUUUGGGACUGACUUUACCAGGAGGCUCACCACAGGGGGUUGGAGUAGUCCUAGAAGGUGAAUAAAUGGCAGAGCCCACAUGGCAUACAAGAGGACAAGGUUUGUCACUCACAGGUUCUGGAAGGAAAGGUACAAGGAGCUGACAUGAACCUGAUUUUUAACCUGAAGCAGACAGAGUUGGGACCAGCUGGCCUGCAGUCCUGUGAGCAAGAAAUCGAUGUGCAUACUCAUGAGUAAACCAUAAACAUUUGCUGUUAUAACCCAGGAAGCUUUGGGAGUUGAUUUUUAUGUGGUGUUAUGGCAACAAUUGUUGAUGAAUGUGGGUAUACAGUAUUGGAAGUUCUCAUGUGUCUUUGAUGGCCAGCCUCUCAGUGCUUACAGAGCUCCUCAGCCUCACCAGAUAUUUCCCACUUGAAUAAUGAAGUUGUAUGGUUGGGAAUAGACAUUUUGGCUAUUUGGGUCAAUAGGUUUAGGACCUUUGGAGGAUUCAAGACUGGUAGAAAACCACAGCAUGGUCUAAGAUGCAGGUGUUCAUGCCUGCAGAAGCCCAUGAUUAGACCCAACUGGAGGAAGUUUGGAGCUUCUCUCAGACAUGUAAGAAUUGUUCUGAAGAAUCUGCAUCUUGUUGGGUGAAGGACUUCAGAAUGUGCAAUAAAAAUGCAAUAGUCUUGGACCUAUGUAACUGGAAGGAACUGGUGGACAAGCUCUUACUGCUUCUCCAGGUUCUCACAAGAAAGCAGGCAUGGAUUCCUUUUGCACAGCUCCUCCAGGCUUUCUGGGCCCUGUCAUUCCUUCUUCUAUCUUCUGGGUUGAGCAACAUGCAAUCUCCCCUUGUGCAGAAGCCCAAAUAGCUACUGAAAAUGUGUCCUCUCUGACUUUCCCCAUUUCUUGAACUCUGAGAGACUUUUUCUAGUAUCAGUUCUGAGGAGCAUUGCUGUUUUCCUUCCUAUCAUCUGGAAGACCUAGACUUUAAAACUCAAAACCUGAGAAAAACUUCCUUUUUUUUCUCUCUUUUGUCUGGAUCAUCACUACCUUGAAAUACUAAAUUAGCAAAGUCCUAACUAGAAACUGAAUUGGCUAAAGAGUCAAGGAGCAACAGGUAAUUCCAAGAAAAACAACAGCAAACUUACAUCAGUUAACAUUUCAAAGCUAUUUUCCUUUGCAAUUUUGUGUAUCUGUUUUUAUGGAAUGCAAGAGAUAAUAGGCUAAAUGCUAUUUUGCAUAUGUGUUACAUUGGAUUUCUCACAUAUUCUACUACUUAACUCAAGAUGUUGAGUAAAUAAAUGAGUUAAUAAACUGGAAUUUCUAUAUCAGCUCUUGGUUCUAGUUAUGUUUCGUUUGUUUUGGAUUUUUUUUCUUUUUGAAUGCUUAUUCACUGGCCCAGCUGUAUUUAUGCCUAGAUUAACCAGAUACAUUGCCA